rnacentral:rRNA from 1 species
AGAGUUUGAUUAUGGCUCAGGAUGAACGCUGGCGGCGUGCUUAACACAUGCAAGUCGAACGUAAAUUCUCCUUCGGGAGAAUGAAAGUGGCAAACGGGUGAGUAACACGUUGGUGACCUACCCCUCGGCGGGGGAUAACUCUGGGAAACCAGAGCUAAUACCGCGGAUGUCUAAGUCGUUAGAGAGCUUAGACUAAAACUAAGGUGCCGGGAGAGGGGCCUGCGGGCUAUCAGCUAGUUGGUGGGGUAAAGGCCUACCAAGGCGCAGACGGCUAGGGGGCGUGAGAGCGCGACCCCCCACAAGGGAACUGAGACACGGUCCCUACUCCUACGGGAGGCAGCAGUGAGGAAUAUUGCCCAAUGGAGGAAACUCUGAGGCAGCAACGCCGCGUGAACGAUGACGGCCUUCGGGUUGUAAAGUUCUUUUCUCAGGGAAGAUGAUGACGGUACCUGAGGAAUAAGUCUCGGCUAACUACGUGCCAGCAGCCGCGGUAAAACGUAGGGGACAAGCGUUAUCCGGAUUUACUGGGCGUAAAGCGCCCGUAGGCGGUUGGCUAAGUUGGACGUGAAAGCUCCCGGCUUAACUGGGAGAGGCCGUUCAAAACUGGCGGACUAGAGUAAGGCAGAGGAGCGCGGAAUUCCCGGUGUAGUGGUGGAAUGCGUAGAUAUCGGGAGGAACACCAGUGGCGAAAGCGGCGCUCUGGGCCUAAACUGACGCUGAGGGGCGAAAGCGUGGGGAGCGAACGGGAUUAGAUACCCCGGUAGUCCACGCCGUAAACGAUGGAGACUAGGUGUAGGCGGAUAGAACCCCGUCUGUGCCGAAGCCAACGCGUUAAGUCUCCCGCCUGGGGAGUACGGCCGCAAGGUUAAAACUCAAAUGAAUUGACGGGG